rnacentral:rRNA from 1 species
CUACGGGUUGCACCAGUGGGGAAUAUUGGACAAUGGACCAAAAGUCUGAUCCAGCAAUUCUGUGUGCACGAUGAAGGUCUUCGGAUUGUAAAGUGCUUUCAGUUGGGAAGAAGCAAGUGAUGGUACCAACAGAAGAAGCGACGGCUAAAUACGUGCCAGCAGCCGCGGUAAUACGUAUGUCGCAAGCGUUAUCCGGAUUUAUUGGGCGUAAAGCGCGUCUAGGCGGAAAAAUAAGUCUGAUGUUAAAAUGCGGGGCUCAACUCCGUAUUGCGUUGGAAACUGUUUUUCUAGAGUACUGGAGAGGUGGGCGGAACUACAAGUGUAGAGGUGAAAUUCGUAGAUAUUUGUAGGAAUGCCGAUGGAGAAGUCAGCUCACUGGACAGAUACUGACGCUAAAGCGCGAAAGCGUGGGGAGCAAACAGGAUUAGAUACCCCCGUAGUC